rnacentral:rRNA from 1 species
UCAGGCCUAACACAUGCAAGUCGAGCGGAAACGAUCCUAGCUUGCUAGGAGGCGUCGAGCGGCGGACGGGUGAGUAACGCGUGGGAAUCUACCGAGUAGUGGGGGACAACUUAGGGAAACUUAAGCUAAUACCGCAUACGCCCUACGGGGGAAAGAGGGGGAUCUUCGGACCUCUUGCUAUUCGAUGAGCCCGCGUCAGAUUAGCUAGUUGGUGGGGUAAAGGCCUACCAAGGCGACGAUCUGUAGCUGGUCUGAGAGGAUGAUCAGCCACACUGGGACUGAGACACGGCCCAGACUCCUACGGGAGGCAGCAGUGGGGAAUAUUGGACAAUGGGGGCAACCCUGAUCCAGCCAUGCCGCGUGUGUGAAGAAGGCCUUCGGGUUGUAAAGCACUUUCAGUUGUGAGGAAGGGGAGUAGGUUAAUAACCUGCUUCAUUGACGUUAACAACAGAAGAAGCACCGGCUAACUUCGUGCCAGCAGCCGCGGUAAUACGAGGGGUGCAAGCGUUAAUCGGAAUUACUGGGCGUAAAGCGCGCGUAGGCGGUUAUUUAAGCCAGAUGUGAAAUCCCCGGGCUCAACCUGGGAUCUGCAUUUGGAACUGGGUAACUAGAAUGCAGCAGAGGAUAGUGGAAUUUCACGUGUAGCGGUGAAAUGCGUAGAGAUCUGAAGGAACAUCAGUGGCGAAAGCGACUGUCUGGG